CAUCUACUCCCUCCGUCCGGAAAUACUUGUCUUCAAAGUGGAAGUAUCUAGAUGUAUUUUAGUUGUAGAUACAUCUUUUUUUAUUCAUUUUGAUGACAAGUAUUUUCGGACGGAGGGAGUAGUAC
rfam:Triticum aestivum genome assembly, contig: Triticum_aestivum_CS42_TGACv1_scaffold_577383_7BL